UUAAAUUGAAGAGUUUGAUCAUGGCUCAGAUUGAACGCUGGCGGCAGGCCUAACACAUGCAAGUCGAACGGUAACAGGAAGAAGCUUGCUGCUUUGCUGACGAGUGGCGGACGGGUGAGUAAUGUCUGGGAAACUGCCUGAUGGAGGGGGAUAACUACUGGAAACGGUAGCUAAUACCGCAUAACGUCGCAAGACCAAAGAGGGGGACCUUCGGGCCUCUUGCCAUCGGAUGUGCCAGAUGGGAUUAGCUAGUAGGUGGGGUAACGGCUCACCUAGGCGACGAUCCCUAGCUGGUCUGAGAGGAUGACCAGCCACACUGGAACUGAGACACGGUCCAGACUCCUACGGGAGGCAGCAGUGGGGAAUAUUGCACAAUGGGCGCAAGCCUGAUGCAGCCAUGCCGCGUGUAUGAAGAAGGCCUCGGGUUGUAAAGUACUUUCAGCGGGGAGGAAGGGAGUAAAGUUAAUACCUUUGCUCAUUGACGUUACCCGCAGAAGAAGCACCGGCUAACUCCGUGCCAGCAGCCGCGGUAAUACGGAGGGUGCAAGCGUUAAUCGGAAUUACUGGGCGUAAAGCGCACGCAGGCGGUUUGUUAAGUCAGAUGUGAAAUCCCCGGGCUCAACCUGGGAACUGCAUCUGAUACUGGCAAGCUUGAGUCUCGUAGAGGGGGGUAGAAUUCCAGGUGUAGCGGUGAAAUGCGUAGAGAUCUGGAGGAAUACCGGUGGCGAAGGCGGCCCCCUGGACGAAGACUGACGCUCAGGUGCGAAAGCGUGGGGAGCAAACAGGAUUAGAUACCCUGGUAGUCCACGCCGUAAACGAUGUCGACUUGGAGGUUGUGCCCUUGAGGCGUGGCUUCCGGAGCUAACGCGUUAAGUCGACCGCCUGGGGAGUACGGCCGCAAGGUUAAAACUCAAAUGAAUUGACGGGGGCCCGCACAAGCGGUGGAGCAUGUGGUUUAAUUCGAUGCAACGCGAAGAACCUUACCUGGUCUUGACAUCCACGGAAGUUUUCAGAGAUGAGAAUGUGCCUUCGGGAACCGUGAGACAGGUGCUGCAUGGCUGUCGUCAGCUCGUGUUGUGAAAUGUUGGGUUAAGUCCCGCAACGAGCGCAACCCUUAUCCUUUGUUGCCAGCGGUCCGGCCGGGAACUCAAAGGAGACUGCCAGUGAUAAACUGGAGGAAGGUGGGGAUGACGUCAAGUCAUCAUGGCCCUUACGACCAGGGCUACACACGUGCUACAAUGGCGCAUACAAAGAGAAGCGACCUCGCGAGAGCAAGCGGACCUCAUAAAGUGCGUCGUAGUCCGGAUUGGAGUCUGCAACUCGACUCCAUGAAGUCGGAAUCGCUAGUAAUCGUGGAUCAGAAUGCCACGGUGAAUACGUUCCCGGGCCUUGUACACACCGCCCGUCACACCAUGGGAGUGGGUUGCAAAAGAAGUAGGUAGCUUAACCUUCGGGAGGGCGCUUACCACUUUGUGAUUCAUGACUGGGGUGAAGUCGUAACAAGGUAACCGUAGGGGAACCUGCGGUUGGAUCACCUCCUUACCUUAAAGAAGC
rnacentral:rRNA from 1 species